rnacentral:lncRNA from 1 species
CUYUUGAGGUUCAGGAUGUUUGUUUUGCUCACUGCAGUAGCCCAACAAGUGCCAGACACAAGGUAGGUCCAUAAAUAAUCGUUGGUGGAAUGAAUAAUAYAAAGGCGGAUAGUAUUCAGCCACAUGAGAAUUGCAAAUAAAUAAAUAAAUAGCAAAAUUGGUAAUAGAAGGGACAGGUAAUUGCCAGCAUCACUGAAAUUAUAUUUUUAACUUGCAGAUAAUUAAGCUGAUAAUCAAGCCAUAAACAGAAUCUCCUGGGCAUUGCUAUUAUUUUUCAAGUCCAUCAACUUCUCUGCCAUCCUCUUGGAAUAUGGUGUGACUGCUUUGAAUUUAAGACCACAUUAAAUAAACAAUAAAGACUAGAAAGGAGCCACAGCAAGGAAGACAGGAAAUUUGGAUUCUAUAUACCUGAUAACAAAGUCAGGUAAGAGUGUUUUGGGGGAAAAGUUAA